rnacentral:rRNA from 1 species
UACGUAGGGUGCGAGCGUUAAUCGGAAUUACUGGGCGUAAAGCGUGCGCAGGCGGUGAUGUAAGACCGAUGUGAAAUCCCCGGCUUAACCUGGGAACUGCAUUGGUGACUGCAUUGCUGGAGUAUGGCAGAGGGGGGUGGAAUUCCACGUGUAGCAGUGAAAUGCGUAGAGAUGUGGAGGAACACCGAUGGCGAAGGCAGCCCCCUGGGCCAAGAUUGACGCUCAUGCACGAAAGCGUGGGGAGCAAACAGG